UGGAGCAGAGAUGGAGAACAUUAUUCAUUUUGUGCUACGUACCCUGUAUAUGGUGCUCGUUUCUGCAAGACACAAGAAGAAGAGCGAUAGAACUGCAACUUGCAACCGUACCAGGAAGCCGAAUUAAGAUGAAAUAAUUGAAAGAUUUCUAUUCGAAGACGAUCGAAAGACUGAAGGAGAAAAAAAAAAAUACUACACCGGCAAGAGAGAAAAGAUUAGAAGAGUGAUCUCUGCAGUAUAUUCUACUUUAAGGACUAGUAUUUACUCUAUCUCUAUAUUCAUUUCCAUCUAGUGCUUGGGCAAUGUUCUCCGUCCCCACAUUUUUUCUUAUUGUCCAGGGGGAGGCCGACAGGUACCGCCCCCCUCCCUUGUUGUGCUUUCCUUCCUACCAUUGUAUCUUUUUAGUUUCAUGGUGCUACCUACACAUGUACUAAUAGUUGUAUAAUCACACACUGUCCUGCCUGGGGAUUGGGAUGGCAUGUUCCUCCCUUCUCCCUUGUUGUUUAUCUGCAACAAUAAACUAUCAAUCAAUCAAUCAUCAAUCAAUAGGAGGUGCCGUUGUAAAGGCAAUACCUCCGACACCAUCACAUCACAUCAGUGUGACAUGACUGAGUGGACAGAGUACUGGAGCACCCGAUGGCACUUAGACAGAAGAGGGCGUGGCAUUAACAGCCCAUCUCAUGCACCCCAGGAUGUGGUGUUGGCCAUGCUGGGAGGAGCACAGUGCCAGGAGACAGUUGCUGAAGUGAGGGUCUGAGGCAGACGCUGUGCUCAGCACUCUCUGUGUCCACGCUGCCAUAACCUCAGGACUCCUUGGUGCAUCCCUUGCCUCGCCUGCCGCUUGGUCCCUGGGUAUGGCGUCGGGGGAACCUUGCUGCCUGCUGCAGCUUCCCUGAGGUUCCUGCAAGACCCUCACCCCAGGAGUGGUGGGCAGGGGAGGCUGCAAGGCUGGGCAGCAGCCUGAGUGGUGGGACCAGCAGGAACACUGCCACUGCUGUGAGGACCAGAACCACCACCACCACCAACAACAACAACAACAGUAACACCACCAUCACCUUGCUGCUGGUAUCUCCAGAAAGGAAAGGGAAAGUUUGAGUGUGACAAGAUUUGAGACUGGGGGAAAGUUCAGCAGACACAGCCUUGCACACACUGGUGAGGGAAACCAUGAGUGGCCAGCGUGUGGGGAAAGACUCCCUGGGAAGGCUGACCUCAGCAAAUACACCCACACACUCUGCUGAAAGACCUCAAGAAUGCCAUCACUGUGGCAAAAGGUUCAGUUUGAAGGGUGACCUUAAGAGACACAGCCUUACACACACUGGUGAAAGACCUCAUGAAUGUGAAGUUUGUGGAAAAAGGUUUACACAGAAGGGUAACCUCGACAAACACACCCUCAGACACACUGGUGAAAGACCUCAUGAAUGUGAAGUUUGUGGAAAAAGGUUUAUACAGAAGGGUAACCUUAACACACACACCCUCACACACACUGGUGAAAGACCUCAUGAAUGCCAUGACUGUGGCAAAAGGUUCAAUAUAAAAAGUCACCUCAAGAAACACACCCUUACCCACACUGGUGAAAGACUUCAUGAAUGUCAAGUUUGUGGAAGAAGGUUUACACAGAAGAGUGACCUGAACAAACACUCCCUUACACACACUGGUGAAAGGCCUCAUGAAUGCCAACACUGUGGCCAAAGGUUCACCGAGAAGGGUGUCCUCAAGAAACACACCCUUACACACACUGGUGAAAGGCCUCAUGAGUGUGAGGUUUGUGGUGACACAUUCAUAAUGAAGAGCCAGCUCAAGGUACACACUUAUAAACACACUGGUGAAAGGCCUCAUGAGUGUCUGGAAUGUGGGAAAAGGUUCACUUGCAAGCAAACCCUGGAGCGUCACAUCUUCAGACACUCUGGCCUGAGAGAGUUCAAGUGUGAUGUGUGUGGGAAGCACUUCAAAACAAAGAAGGACAUUGCCCAGCACAUGAAGACCCAUUUCUGAGGUGCUGUGUUGUGCUGCAGUGCUGCUGUGUGAGGGACCAUCUUGACAGGGAACCAGUCAUCAAUACCACCUGGAGAGGACUGGCACCGUGCUGUGGCUGACUGCUAAGAGAUGCACCAACAAGCCGCACCCUAGUGAACAAGUCUGCCACGAGCUAGAGUGGUGACAACUCUGUCAUCUUGCCCCGGCACAGUGCAGCAGCGGUGACUUGGGCCGCCAGAACAGACCAUCAACAGGAUUAUCAAGGAGACGCUCUGUGAAGGUUUGUCAAGUUUCCCUGCGCUCCACAAGAAACCCGGCCAAGCAGAGACUACUGGUGCAGACUGCCGGCCUGGGAGCUGUGAUAGACGGAGCGCUUGUUUGGUUUGCUGCCCCAAGGGAAUUGCAGGCAGAAUAUGUAAUCGUGCAAGGCAUGCACACCAUGAACACUCCAGUGGUGUUUGUCAAGCCCUAUAUUGUUGGCCAGUGGCCGGGGUGAGUGCAUGAUGGACAGACAAAUGGCUCCAGCUGGGAAGGAGGGGGAGGCAGGGGGAUGAGCACUGUGCUGGGACUAGGGGGAGAUAAAGGCACAGGCAGUACAACAGUGUGCCAUGUGGAACACCGAGAGAAAAAUAACUGAAGAAUACAGAAGAAGGAAGACCAGAGAGGGAUGAAGGAAGCAAUGCUAGGCAUCAGAGGUCUGAAGAAGAAGAGGAAGAAGAUGCAAGGAACUGAAGAAUACAAAAGAAGGUAGACCAGAGAGGGAGGAAGGAAUGCUAGGAUACAGAGGUCUGGAGAAGAGGAAUGAAUGAAGAGUGAGCGUAGAAUGAAUGAAGAGGAAUGAAGAAUGAAGAUGAAGGAAGAAGGAAGAGGAAGAAGAAGGUGCAGGCACUCUGUGGGUGAGUGCCCUGCUCACAGGCCAUGAAAGGGGCCGUGUGCCUGCUGGACGCCGCCUGCUAGGGAACCGCGGCCACCCUUGUCUGAGGCAGCUGCUGACCUCCUGCCUGCACCCUCGGCCAGGCCCACAGACACACCACAGCGGGUAAGUGAUGUGGCUGCUCUAUAGUCUGCACACACACACACACACACACACACACACACAGAAGGUAGUGAAAGUAAUCAAAGAAAAUGAGGCACUGGUAAGAGGCACGGUUGAGAAAAAGAAAGUGUGUCAUUGUGUUCGGUGUCAAGGACGAGAAAACCCCAAGCAAAUCUGUGAGGGAAAACAACUUGAAAGAUGUAGUGAAGAAAAUCGUGCAGAGGGUACAAGAAGAGGGAAGAGACCUGGUGAAAGAAAUAGAUGACUGUCAUAGGAUUGGAAAAUACAAUGGCGAAAGAGAUAGACCAAUUAGGGUACGAUUUAAGGCACAGAGCGAAACAGAAGAGGCCCUGGCAGGAGCUUGGAAGCUAGCGGGAGAAGAAGACACCAAAAUGAUGUGGCUGAGAAAAGAUGUGAAUGAACAGACGCAGGGAACAGAAGAGUCGUGGGGAGGAAGACUCCUGCAACUGGCAAUGGAACAUGUACAGUUACGCUACGAAGUGUUGAGACAGUUUGCAAUGACUUUCGUUCAAAUAAUGCAUAAUAUUAUUCGAAGGAAAGGGAUGUUUAGGAGUGAUUUUCUUAUAGAUACACAAAAUAUAAUAUUGAGAAAGAAAAUAAAUUCAAUAGAGUGGAAGGUUUUACCUUAUAACUAUAUAUUAGGCAGCUUUGCCGAAACAUUUUGAUACAGAUUUCGUUCAAGACAUUAAGAGUCAAAUGAGUUCUAUGUUAAGACUAAAUAUAUAUAUAUAUAUAUAUAUAUAUAUAUAUAUAUAUAUAUAUAUAUAUAUAUAUAUAUAUAUAUAUAUAUAUAUAUAUAUAUAUAUAUAUAACUGCACAAAUAUAUUGCUCUUUCUUUCAAUGUAGUGAUAGACCCUAUAGUAUAAAAUAAUAGGAAAACAUAAUUAGCUGCACUUCAUUUGAUGAAAUGCGAAAUAAAUACUACAUAAUGAACUCGCAUUUGAUGAUGACGUCAUCGGGAACGACAUUCAUGCAUGACUAUAUAAAUCUUGUGUGUGUAAAAUCAAAGAGAUUCUGAAAAAUAAAUCACAAAAUCAAUUAUCUAUAUUUCUGAUUAACGGUAAAAUCCAAGGAGAAGUAUCGACAAGUGGCCAGACAUAUAAUUCAAAACUGCACAAGACACACGACAGACGAUGCGAUAUAGCUUAUUGUCCGGGUAGAGGAGAGACGACGCUUGGCCAGCUCUGCAUUGCUAGCCUAGCACUUUCUUCCAUUCAUCACUCGAGUUAAUUAUAUACAUCUGAUCAAAAAUAUUAUUUAUAACUUGUAGGUAUGAAUAGUGAAGUGACCUCUACUCCGCUCCCGCGGACUGUAAAAGUGUAAAUGAAUGUGGCUACAUAGCCUAUCAUUCCAAUAUGUUUCUCUUUGCCACAUUCAAGGCGAGGCAUCAAGACUAGACCUGGUAGUUAGCAAGGAGCCGGAAGUAAUAGAAAAUCUUAUAGUAGAUUGUCCAAUAGCAAAGAGCGACCAUGCGGUUGUGGAAAUUGAAGUAAAAGAAAAGAGAACGAUUGACCGAAAAGAGGAUCACAAAAUUGUGAGAAGUAACUACUGUAAGGCAGACUUUGUUAGCAUGAGAACUUUUUUUGAAAAUGCAAAUUGGAGUGGGCUGUACAAAGCCAAGAGUACACAGGAUAAGUGGGAAGAGUUUUUAAAACAAUACAAGGAAGCCAAAAAUAGAUAUGUCCCUAAGGUAACCAAAAAGGAUGUUGGUAAAAGGAGUGGUUUAACAAAAGAUGCAAGGCAGCUAGAAAGAGAAAGGAGGAAGCUUGGAAGGGAUGGAGGAGACGAAGAAGAAUCAACUCGUGGAACGAUUUAAAAAAAGCAAGGAAUGAAUAUACAAAGAUUAGAAGAGAAGCAAAACGGAAAUAUGAAAAAGAUAUAAUCGACAAGUGCAAAGACCAACCCAAGCUAUUCUAUAGACAUGUGAACGGCAAAUUAAAGAAUAGAGAAACAAUCGAUAAACUGAAAAUGGAUGGAACUACAUAUGAGUACCCAGCAGAGAUAGCAGAAAUGAUGAACAACAGCUGCCAUAGCGUUUUCACAAAAGAAAACGAAUUUGCACAACCACCAUGCCAGGAAAGAGGAAGGGUUGUGCAGGAGAUACAGUUAACCCUUUCUUUGGUAAGCGCUCGCAACGAGACUAUCCCCUCAGGCGCGCUCGGGCACCCCAGCGGGGGAAGGGGAUUUCUUUUAACCGCUGUAUCUCAAAAACUAUUCAUCACAGCUAUAAAAUAAAAACACUAUUGGAAAGAGGAGGCCAAGAUCUAUAAGAUUCAGUUAUGUAAGCCUCUCCUGAGAACGUACAGGCACGUUCAGGAGAUGUUUUUUGCUCUGAGUGCGACUGGCGCUCGCCGCGAGCUUUUAGCACCACCAGCAAGUGACACUAGUGCUCGCUCUUUUAGCCUCUGUAUCUCAAAAACUAUUUAUCACAGCUAAAAAACAAAACUCCAUUGGAAAGAGGAGGCCAAGAUCUAUACGAUUCAGUAAUGUAAUCCUCUCCUGCAAAUGUACAGGCACAUUCAGGGGGUGUUGCCUGUGAAGACGUACAUUUAUACGUGCGUGACGGUCAGCCGCAAGGCAACUACUGAGUUAGAUCUCUUGAUGAUGGGGUGCUGGCAGGGCAGUAUUGCCAACUGCAAAAUAUACAACUAUUUGGUCAAAAUAUCAGUCAUGUGAUAGGUGAAGCUAUGCAAAAAUGUCGCUAUAUUGGUCAACAACAUCCACCAGUUGCUCGUCCAUAUAUUUUCCGCGCUGGGCUGAUAUGAUUUUCCACCAUAUUUAGUGUAGAACUCACUCAAUUGGCAAUCCUGUGUUGUGAGAAAUAGUGUUGGAACACUCUCAUACGUGUGAGAUUUGAGUGCAGCUGGAUUUCGCAGCGAGCGUUUAGCACCACCAGCAAAUAUGCAAUGAAAGGGUUAAUGGUGCAGGAGGUCAUGGAAAGCUUGAACAAGCUGGAUGUAAGAAAGGUGAUGGGGCCGGGUGGAGUAUCAGGGUGGAUCUUGAAAGAAUGUAGUGAGCAACUUGCAGAGAAACUGCACUCCAUAAUGAGUCCCUCCCUGAGUGAAGGAAGGGUACCACAAGACUGGAAGAGAGCAAACGUAUUACUAAUUUUUAAGGGAGGAAAGAGAGAGGAUGGUUGUGAAGAUAUGCGAGAGGCUGGUUAAAAAGAGGUGGUCGGAUUUCUUAGAAAGUGAGAAAAUGAUCUCGGAUUACCAGUUUGGAUUCAGGAGAGGGAGAUCUUGUGUCACCAACUUGUUGUGUUAUUACUCAAGGGUGACAGAUUUAAUACAAGAGAGAGAGAGAAGGCUGGGGUGAUGGAGUGUACCUGGAUUUAAGAGGCAUUGAAGCCUACAACUAACCAAUUUAAAUGUUCACUUAGAUUUAGGUAAAACGAUACCUUCACUACACCACUUCAUUUCACUAUUUAUGACUUAAUAUUAUAAUUUGAGAUGCAAAUACAUGUUCAUUAACAAUAUUAAGGCACGCAGGGUUAGAAAUAGAAACUAACCUAACCCGACAUAACCAAACUGAAGUUAACCUAAAGCAGUUUACCUGAGCUAACCUCUAUCUAGCUGAAACCUCCAAUACAUUAUAAACUAUAACCAUGGUUAUGUCAUAUUAGUUUUUUGGGGGAGGUUAGAUUGCCUUCUGUUAUGUCUGGCUAGGUCAAGCUAGUUUCCAAACCUGUUUGACUUCAUAAUACGUAUAGUUAAGGAGCAGGUAUUCUUAUCCCUAGGGUAAAGUGUGAAGACGUGAAUGAUAUAUAUAUAUAUAUAUAUAUAUAUAUAUAUAUAUAUAUAUAUAUAUAUAUAUAUAUAUAUAUAUAUAUAUAUAUAUAUAUAUAGGUUGUGUUUGGGACGAAAAUAGCCUAGUCAGGUCCUCGGCCAUGUGUAUUUUGGCAUAGUCUACUCUGAGCAAUGAGAGCCACACGCGACCUUAUUAUUUGUUCACAUAGGUCAACCCUGUCAUUAAACAGCUAAAAACUAACAUUAUGACAGGGAAAUGUACUCACCUGCUCCAAUAAUGGGAUGAAAAUAGCCAUAGUCUGGGCCUCAUCCAUGUGUAUUUUGGCAUAGUCUACUCUGAGCAAUGAGGGCCACACACGACCUUUUUACUUGUUCACAUAGGUCAACCCUGUCAUUAACCCUAGAAUGCUAAGGACGCGUUUACACCUAUUAAUGCCAAUUCAGGUGGAUUUUACCCGUUUUGGAAAAUUAAACAAAAAUAGUUUAAAUCAUUUUUUUUAUUUAUUCUCAAAACACAAAUAAGCUUUAACACUUUACCUUCUAGAUGACAUGAGGAAAAUUCCUUUUUUGGGUAAAAAUAAACAUGUAAUGGGUAAUUGAAAACAGUAACCAAAAACACUGUAAAUUUGCAUAUGCCUAAUAAAAAAAAAGUAAUGUAUUUUCUGAUAUUGAGAGAAAACAGUUCAGCUACUGCAGACUUGCACUUGAGUCCUGAGAGCUCUACUCCCAAUCAAGUAUAGAGAGGUAUUGUCACUCAUAGAACGUGAAGAACCAAAUUUUGGAAUGAGCUUUUUUAUUAGGACCUCUCGGAGGUUUUUUAUGUUAUAAACUACUACAAUAAAAUAAAAUAAGA